AUUGAACGCUGGCGGCAGGCUUAACACAUGCAAGUCGAGCGGAGAUGAGGUGCUUGCACCUUAUCUUAGCGGCGGACGGGUGAGUAAUGCUUAGGAAUCUGCCUAUUAGUGGGGGACCACAUUCCGAAAGGAAUGAUAAUACCGCAGACGUCCUACGGGAGAAAGCAGGGGAUCUUCAGACCCUGCGCUAAUAGAUGAGCCUAAGUCGGAUUAGCUAGUUGGUGGGGUAAAGGCCUACCAAGGCGACGAUCUGUAGCGGGUCUGAGAGGAUGAUCCGCCACACUGGGACUGAGACACGGCCCAGACUCCUACGGGAGGCAGCAGUGGGGAAUAUUGGACAAUGGGGGGAACCCUGAUCCAGCCAUGCCGCGUGUGCGAAGAAGGCCUUAUGGUUGUAAAGCACUUUAAGCGAGGAGGAGGCUACUGAGACUAAUACUCUUGGAUAGUGGACGUUACUCGCAGAAUAAGCACCGGCUAACUCUGUGCCAGCCGCCGCAGUAACAC
rnacentral:rRNA from 1 species